GCCAAAAGCACCAGGAAAGCAAUCAGAUACCCCAGCACCGAGUCCGCCGUGGCUGUUUCAUGGAAACUGGCAUAUCUGGAGACAGGGUAUGAAAGGAAAAGCCUCAGAUCUGCUUGGACAGCGUGUUUCUGUGAGAGUCCUCUUGAUGAAGACGGACAGCGCGCUCCAGCUGAGAACGAUGAUCGCCAACUCAAGCAGGUUCCAUUUACUCCUGAAAUAAGCCCAUUUCUGCUGCUUGAUCAGCUUUCCCUGUCAGCGCACAAGAGGUGUGUUAAGCGUGGAAACUCAUUUAACCAUUUAACGACUGUCAGAAAAGUCGAGAGGACGAAUAAAUACCUGAACAAACAUGUAGUAGAUGAUGAAGAGGAAGUAGAUGACUUCAGAUGCCAUGACAAAGAUAGUAAGGCCACCAGCCGUCUGGUAAAGACGCACACUCUGGAGCUCACUGUGAAACUGGAAAGCUCCUGGAAGAAAUCCAAGCUGGUUCUUCUAACAGCUGUGGCUUUGUGGCGCUCUCACACAGAAGCUGAACACACACUACCUACCUAUGGCCGUGGUCUCCAGCAUGAGUGUGACAAUGCAGAAGAGGUUGACGUUGGCGUUGUACACAGUGAACUCCACAAAGACGGCUUGAGUGUACACAUCAAACCACGUGUUGUCGUAAAGGUACUGAAGAGACCUGCAUGAAGCCAGAACAAACCACAAUGUCUCCAUUCUGACUGAGCUCAGGACCACAGAGAGCAGUGGUAGCGAGACUGGUUUUCUGCCUUACGUAGUCUUGUGUGCAGAGAUUCCUCGAUUCUCAGAAAUCCCUGGAAUGCCUACCUUUUGGAAUUGUCUAAAUCUGGUCCCAGAUCCAUCACAAAGCCUCCUCCUCUGUAGAGCUUCACUCUGCCCCACACAGGGUAGGUCCUCAGUCUACGCUGGGACUGGUAUGUCCAGGGGCCGCUCAGGUUCAGCGAGGCGCGUCCGUGCACGGAGCGGUUCCAGCCUGGACCGUAGGAGCCCAUGUCCUCAAAGUCCCACGAGUACGGAGCGUGGCAGUCUCCCACAGAGCGCUGCAUCGAGUCGGCCACGUGGCAGGAGCUGUUCCUCACUCUCACCUGUCGGAGGCGAGCGCUGCCCACCAGCUUUGAGUUUCCAUCCGUGAUGAAGCCUGUGAAAUGAUCAGGUUGCUGAGCAGCGUUGUGUUUGCCCAGCUGAACACAUCCUGAAUACUCAUGCUGUCUGAGGCACCUUUGCUGAAGCUCUGCUGAAUGUGUUGGGUCAGAAAGUAAGCGUUGGGGUCCCUCUGACCAUAGGCCACAAGGAGCAACAUCCACAUAAAGCCCAUAUAGGCUGCACAACAGCAAAGAUCUCAUAUCAGAAUUUGGGUAUAUACAUUUCUCAUUGCUUUGUGCAGUAUCUUAUCACUUAGUUCUCCUACCCAGAAUCUCCCUAAUGAGGGCAAACACCUUCUGCUCCUUAAUCAUGUUGUUCCUCAUCCUCUCAACAUCAGAGGGAGGCGGCGGCUGGUAGAAGCUGCACGUGCUGUCUCUUCUUCCUGCCCACACUGCAGGCUCAUCUGCGGGAGAUGGUGUGUUCCUACUAGCAAGUUGCUUUUUAACAUUGUAAAAAUGCAAGAAGAAGAGGAACGAGACAAAAAAAUCUUGCCUGGGUUCCUGAGCUGGCCCUCGAUCUGUGGCUCGCCGUACUCCUCCUGGUCCACCUUCUUCAGCACGAGAGCAAAGAAAGCAGCAAAUCCAAGAACCUGCGACAGAUUUUCAGAAGGAAUCCUCAAACUACAGUCAACAAACGUUAUUAGUAUUUAUUUCAUUGUAUUGCUUAGUUACAUUUUCUUUAUUGUAAUUAAUUUGGAAACACCAAUUAUCAUUAACAAACUAAUAAUCAUCACCUUUAAAGGUUGUGUAAUGAAGAGACUUUCAAAGAAGGAGACCACCAUGGAGAUGAGCCAACUAAUGGAGCGCUCCUUCCCGUACGUCAGUCCAUACAUCAUGGUGAAGUACGCCGACACGCCGCUGGUUGCCAUCACAAGCGUCCAGCCGACGAACACGAACCACCACGGCAGCCCUCCUCUCCUGUUUGUCUCCCUGUUGACCUUCGGCUCGGGACUCGGGCUGGAGCUGGACCGGUCUCCCUCCAGGCUGGACAACGGGAGGUGGUACUCCAGAAGAGCCCGCAUUCCUUGGACCUGCUGCAUGGCCCGGUUGAAGCUGUCUGGGUUUGGGAAACGAGCGGGGCCCAAUAGGCCCAGCUCCUUCUCAACGUGGAGCAGCUGCCUGUACAGAUUGACGGCUCCUAAACUGAGGAUCAUAGAACAAUCUCUUUUGGAGGCAUCGGUGUAGAAGUCUGCAGGCACUCGGUUCUGCUGUCUGAUGAUGUCCUCCACCACGGACAGCAGAGUGUUGAUGUCCAGCUGCUGCCCAGGCUGAAGCUCCAGCUGUGGCAGGGGACUCUUCAUGGCCUUCAUGAGCGACUGAGCAAUUCUCCUGAUGUCCUAAAGUUAAAAACACAGAAUGUUCUUCAGACGCAGAAAAUGGAGCGGCACUUAUUUUUAGACUUAUGUGACUUCACCUUGAUCACAGUGUCUGAUGUGACGUCCUUCAGCUCUUUCUGCGGAGAAGACGUCUGUGAGGGAGCAACCCGCACCGUCUUCCCCUGUUUCUUCGCGUCUGUUCUGAUGGGUUUCUCUCGAGGACGAGUGUUUCGGAAGAUGCUCACAAUGAGGAGAUUGAUGGGAAACAUAAUGAUUGAACUUUGGAGGCCGAUCAUGACCUGUUGCCAGGUGAACUCGAUGUGACCUGAGGUCCAUGGUCUGCUCAGAGGGGUCUGUUGGGAUGCCCCAAAACAUGAUGCUGGUGAGCAUGGUGCACAAGAGGAGAGACAAACAGCAGGACACCCGCUGCACUCGAGUAAAAGUGCUGGAGGGAGGUCGGCUGAUGACUGAGAACCAGAUGUGGCCGUCACGGAAAUCCUUGGCCGUCUUCAUGAAGAACAGGUUACUGAAAAUGGAUUAGACAAAACAACAGAUUGAGAAAGAUGUAGAAAUAAGGCUGUACUGGUAAAAUGUCUUCAUCAGAUCUAUUGCAGCUCUCACCUAAACCUCUUCAGAUCUGUUUCUGUAGCUACCAUGAAAACCUUAUCGAGAGCGCAGUCCCCCACGUCUACGGCCAGCCAGGAGUUACACAGGAAGUGGCAUUUCUGACCACGCUCCAGAUCCUGCACCAUCACCUUGUUGACAUACCUGCACACAACAUCCGUAAUCAAGUACAGCGCGCUGAUAAUGGCACAGGUAACUUACUGUAGGUAACUUACCAGGCAGGGUGUUCUCCUGAGUUAUCAUGCCACAGCCUGAUACUCUGCAGAUCUCCCAGAGAGAAGUGCGUGGUCAGCAGGAACACGUCCACGCCUCCUCUCUCAAACACGGGCUUCUCGGGAUCCGUCAGGUGGUGGGGUUCGCUUUCUCCCUCUGUGCCCGUCAGCGUUAUCGUCACCUGCGACACAAGGGAUCAGUGAAGCUGGGCUGAAUACAUCAUCUGUGAGUCUGUGCUUUAACAGACCUGAGAGGAGGUGGAUGCCCCACGGCGAUGCCCAGUGUGGAGAGUCACUAUAUAACGACACUCUGCCAAUGGGUCGUUGUCCUGGAGUACUGUUACUUUGACCUGCAGCAAUUCAAAAUACAGGUUUCGGGAUUAACUGAGCUGCUAAUAUGGAUAAACUCAUUUUUGCUAAAGUGAAGUCUGUCAGCCUCACAACUAGGUGUGUUACCUUGGCUGAGUCCUGGAUGUCUUUCCUACGCGCCCACACAAGCACCAGGAGGUAAGCGGCGAAGAUCGCCCCGACAAAACACACCACCACAGGGUUGUUGGCGAACGUGGCAAAGAGCUCGGCGGUGCGAGUCACGUCCACCACGUUUGGCAUGACAAAGAAAGAGCUGCCGAAGAACGUCAGGUGGUUGCAGAGACACUGGGUGAGCAAAGGCGUUGUGAGCGGACCCACCUGUGGAAACCAGACAAACAGCAGCUGAGGGAGAGGUUCGACGUAGCGACGAACCGCUGCAGAGCUGGACCUACUGACCCUGCAGCCCUCCUCACUCCACGACGACGCUGACUCAUUCCAGUACUUGCACUGCGCAGCAAUGGAAGUCACAGUGACAGUGGUGUUGAUAGAUUUGAUGCCUGGUUCUACGAUGGGCUUUAUCACCAGGUAGUGGAGGCCGACAUCUACUCUUCGGUCUGUGGGACUCAGCACCCAGGUAUAUUUUUCCUCUGUUUAUGAGCAAAAACAGCCAAACACAGGCUUAGGUCUGUGUAACAAAGCUUCCUGAGUCACAGUAGGUAAGCUAAAGCCUUUAAACAUGAUUCUUAGUUGUGUCAGGUUAAUUUAUUCAUUUUAAUUUUACCUUCUUUGGAAUUCUCCAGAGGAAACUGGGCUUUAGCUACGUAAUUCUUCUCACUUGGAUAAUCUCUGCUUCCCAGGAGCAGCAUGAAGGAAAUGUCUUCAGACGGCGCCGUUUUCAGCACCAGUGUUACAUCCGGUGAUGGAACAUCAAUCAUCAACGUGCUGAAGUUGGCGAGGUCCAGGACGGUGCUGUUCUCACGUCCGACGUCCAGCCGCGGCAGGUUCUCAACGGGAAUCACAGAGCCGUUCACUCUGGUGAGCGAGACGGACCCUACGGCUCCUGUGAUGUUUUCCUCCCUCCAAGAAUACGGAUUCUUCUCAAAGCUCAUCAUCUGAAAAAGUGCAACGUGCAACAUAUUUAGUUGAAAAUGUGCAGCAUCUUCGUGCAUCAACAUUUCUUUACUGUUACUGUAAGUCAAACACUUACCCUCACAUCCACUGGCUCGUCCGGAGAAACAAUGUCUUUGGGGAGUUUGGGGAACAAAAACCUGGACGAGCUGUUCUUCUGAACAUUUAUGUCCUGCAUCUGCCUGCUUCCUGAAGACACUCUGCAAAAAUAGCACUCAACACGUUAUCAUGAUUUCAGCCCGUUUUAUGUUAUGGGCCUCUCAGUGUCUCCCACCUGUUGACGUACACGGUGAUCUGAUCAGAAUCAAUGAUGGCAGGUUCUCCAUUGAGCUGUUUAUUAUUCAGCAAAGCGCUCUGAACGUUGUUGAUCCCAGUUAGAAGAAAACCUGAGACUUUUUUCUGAAAAAAAAAGAAAAGGUUUAGUAAAGUGUUAGUGAGCAAAAACAGCAUUUAGUAAUAUUCAGGAGUCCGAGUCGGUUCUUACAUUGGAUGAAACAUUUAAAAUAUUACUGGCUGCUUCAACUAUUGGUAUUGAAGCUUGCUCAACCUCGCCAUCGUCUUUGCUGUCGUGACUGACGCUGAGGGAGUUGAGGGAGAAGCUGAGGUCCACCAACAAUGAACCUGCCUCCUCCUGAGCAGGAAACACAACAAUCAGGCAUUUAUGCAUUGUACAGCUAUUUAAAACACUUUGUAGGAUAUGUGCAGUGUACCUGAGCAGCGGAACUGAGCUCAUCCGAGCGCUGAGUGAGUCCAGCCACAGCCCUGGCUGCCACUUCCACUUCCUGCGUGGUGUUCGUGGGGGCGUCCAGCAGCACCGUGCUCAUUUCAGUCAGCAUUUGCUCUCUGAGCUAAAAAGGAGAGAGCGGCGGUUAACAGAAUGACUUUGGCCUGUGCUGUUUUAGCAUCGGCGGCCUUCACCUUCGCCCUCGCAUCCUUCUGAUCCUGGUCGGCCUCUGCAUUCAGCACGUCAGAGACCGAGGUAAAUAUUUGUCCCAGAGCCUCCCCAGAAAGCAGGCCGUGCUCUUUCAGCUGGCUCACAGUUCUAUCCACCACAGACUGGAGGUUCACCACGGAUGUAUUGGACUCACUUCUUUGCACCUUAACACAGAUAAAUGAAAUGAAUCAGUUGUUUCCAGCCCGCUUUUCUCUUCCAUCUGUGAUCGGUGCCAGGCGACAAACCUGAGCAGUGACCGUUGUGUUGGCUUUGUCGUGUUCGUUUUUCACAGUCACCACAACAGAUACUUUGUAAUUGUCGUUCUUAUCUCCGACAGGCAGGAAGACAGACUUCACCUCGUUUGAAUUACUGCAGCGUAGAUAUUGGCCUUAAAGACAACGGAGGCGGCUUAGAACAAGGGUUUUAUCAGCACAUACCCAAUGCUUGUGAAAAGGGGAAAGCACAAACUUUGAACAACCACAAUAAAAUGUCAACACAUCACCAUGA